rnacentral:rRNA from 1 species
AACUGAAACAUCUAAGUACCCCGAGGAAAAGAAAUCAACCGAGAUUCCGAAAGUAGCGGCGAGCGAAAUUGGACUAGCCCUUAAGCUUUACACGCGUUAGACGAACGGUCUGGAAAGUCCGACGAUACAGGGUGAUAGUCCCGUAGUUGACGACGUGUGUUCAGUGAAAUCGAGUAGGGCGGGACACGUGAUAUCCUGUCUGAAUAUGGGGGGACCAUCCUCCAAGGCUAAAUACUACUGACUGACCGAUAGUGAACCAGUACCGUGAGGGAAAGGCGAAAAGAACCCCUGUGAGGGGAGUGAAAUAGAACCUGAAACCGUGUACGUACAAGCAGUAGGAGCAGGCUUUGUCCUGUGACUGCGUACCUUUUGUAUAAUGGGUCAGCGACUUAUAUUCAGUGGCAAGGUUAACCAUCUAGGGGAGCCGUAGGGAAACCGAGUCUUAACUGGGCGUUCAGUCUCUGGAUAUAGACCCGAAACCAGGUGAUCUAGCCAUGGGCAGGUUGAAGGUUGAGUAACAUCAACUGGAGGACCGAACCGACUAAUGUUGAAAAAUUAGCGGAUGACUUGUGGCUAGGGGUGAAAGGCCAAUCAAACCUGGAGAUAGCUGGUUCUCCCCGAAAGCUAUUUAGGUAGCGCCUCGGACGAAUACUACUGGGGGUAGAGCACUGUUAAGGCUAGGGGGUCAUCCCGACUUACCAACCCUUUGCAAACUCCGAAUACCAGUAAGUACUAUCCGGGAGACACACGGCGGGUGCUAACGUCCGUCGUGGAGAGGGAAACAACCCAGACCGCCAGCUAAGGUCCCAAAUUACUACUAAGUGGGAAACGAUGUGGGAAGGCUCAGACAGCCAGGAUGUUGGCUUAGAAGCAGCCAUCAUUUAAAGAAAGCGUAAUAGCUCACUGGUCGAGUCGGCCUGCGCGGAAGAUGUAACGGGGCUAAGUAGUAAACCGAAGCUGCGGCAAUAUACUUUUGUAUAUUGGGUAGGGGAGCGUUCUGUAAGCGGUUGAAGGUGUGUGGUAACGCAUGCUGGACGUAUCAGAAGUGCGAAUGCUGACAUGAGUAACGAUAAAGGGGGUGAAAAACCUCCUCGCCGGAAGACCAAGGGUUCCUGUCCAACGUUAAUCGGGGCAGGGUAAGUCGACCCCUAAGGCGAGGCCGAAAGGCGUAGUCGAUGGGAAACGGGUUAAUAUUCCCGUACUUCUUACAAUUGCGAUGGGGGGACGGAGAAGGCUAGGUGGGCCUGGCGACGGUUGUCCAGGUUCAAGUGCGUAGGCUUAAGA